GCUCAAAGCAGCAGACCCACUCCAGGGCCUGCUUUUCACUACAGAUUCUGAAACACAGAAGGAAUUAAAAUGCUUGCUCUUGAUAGCCUGGGCUGGGAGUUAGUGCAUAUCAUCAGCCAUCCAUCUAAUGUGAUUGCUAAGAUGUACAGGAUAGGACAGCUUAGAAUGAGUGCCUUGACACCCACAUAUGGCUGCAUUCCAUACCUCAGUGAAGAAGCUGAAGGAUGCUGACACACAGUGAUGUGGAGGGCAUUCGGGAGAAACUUUUGCAACAGUGUAUUAAUGUGAUUGGUUUUCUUUUUGUUUUAAGCUAAACAUCUAAAACAAAUUUCAAGUUAACAGUACAUACAACUCAGAUUUAGUAUUAUUGUUUAUCAUAAAACAUAUUAUGUUCCUAGUUUUAAAAAGACCCAAACUAUGAUUAAUAUAAUUUAUUGGCAUUUUUGCUGAAUAGGUUUAAGUCAGAUAAUAGAUUUUAAAAAAGCAAAUGAGGCAAUGUAUCAAAACUUAAUGUUUCAUUAUAAAAAUAGAUACGUUCACUUAAAAAAAAUAAAAUAAAAUGCUUGCUCUUACAUUUUUUUACAUAAGAAUGGUUACUUAUUCCUACCUUGUCUACCUUAUCUUGCUUUUGUUUUCCUUUCUCAUUGUUAGCACUAUUUUAAAGGCGAAAGGUCUUUCCCUACUAAAAAGGCAUUCCUUCCCAGGAAAGCCUUGUCAGGUUGGGCCAUUUUCAUUAUACUCUCA
rnacentral:lncRNA from 1 species